UCCUUCAUUCCACCGGAGUCUGUGUAAAGUGCCAAUCAGAUUUCAGUGGUUUGAAGAGUA
ensembl:miRNA